rnacentral:rRNA from 1 species
UGAACGCUGGCGGCGUGCCUAAUACAUGCAAGUCGAGCGAACAGACGAGGAGCUUGCUCUUCUGACGUUAGCGGCGGACGGGUGAGUAACACGUGGAUAACCUACCUAUAAGACUGGGAUAACUUCGGGAAACCGGAGCUAAUACCGGAUAAUAUAUUGAACCGCAUGGUUCAAUAGUGAAAGACGGUUUUGCUGUCACUUAUAGAUGGAUCCGCGCCGCAUUAGCUAGUUGGUAAGGUAACGGCUUACCAAGGCAACGAUGCGUAGCCGACCUGAGAGGGUGAUCGGCCACACUGGAACUGAGACACGGUCCAGACUCCUACGGGAGGCAGCAGUAGGGAAUCUUCCGCAAUGGGCGAAAGCCUGACGGAGCAACGCCGCGUGAGUGAUGAAGGUCUUCGGAUCGUAAAACUCUGUUAUUAGGGAAGAACAAAUGUGUAAGUAACUAUGCACGUCUUGACGGUACCUAAUCAGAAGGCCACGGCUAACUACGUG